UACGAAGGGGGCUAGCGUUGUUCGGAAUUACUGGGCGUAAAGCGUGCGUAGGUGGUUUGUUAAGUCUGCUGUGAAAUCCCCGGGCUCAACCCGGGAACUGCGUCCGAUACUGGCAGGCUUGAAUCCGGGAGAGGGAUGUGGAAUUCCAGGUGUAGCGGUGAAAUGCGUAGAUAUCAGGAGGAACACCGGUGGCGAAGGCGGAUCUCUGGGCCAUUACUGACGCUGAGGAGCGAAAGCGUGGGGAGCGAACAGG
rnacentral:rRNA from 1 species